rnacentral:rRNA from 1 species
AUACGUAGGGGGCGAGCGUUGUCCGGAGUUAUUGGGCGUAAAGGGCGUGUAGGCGGCCUGUUAAGUCAGGUGUGAAAUUUCAGGGCUUAACCCUGAACCUGCGCUUGAAACUGGCAGGCUAGAGGACAGGAGAGGGAAGUGGAAUUCCCGGUGUAGCGGUGGAAUGCGUAGAUAUCGGGAGGAACACCAGUGGCGUAGGCGGCUUCCUGGACUGUACCUGACGCUGAGGCGCGAAAGCUAGGGGAGCAAACAGGAUUAGAUACCCUGGUAGUCCUAGCCGUAAACGAUGAGUGCUAGGUGUGGGAGGUUAAAACCCUUCCGUGCCGGAGUUAACGCAAUAAGCACUCCGCCUGGGGAGUACGGCCGCAAGGCUAAA